GUUCACUCAAUCAUGCUUUUCAGUACUUCAGCAGUGUCGCUGGAUUCAGAUCAGAAAUAUCUCAAAGACUGUGUGGGGAAAAAGUCUAAAUACGAGCUUCAGAAACUUCAGAAGCGGCUCACCUAUCCGAGGGUCUCUCUGGCAAACAGAACAUCGGUGAUGCAGACUCUGCAGCGGUUCCUGGAUCUCAGACACGACAGCCGACAGUAAAGAGUUCAAAGCCCCGCCCCCCGGGCUGUCCCAGCUGCCAGAACAAGUGAGCAGACCAAAGUGCCGCGCUGACCUAAAUUCUCCCAGAGAGACUCCUCUUAAAGCUGCAGGGACACAGACAGACAAGCAGGGACGGAGACCCAGAGACAGGAAGUCCCAGACUGAGACUCCCACUGUGGUUUAAGGAUGAAUUACUUCUGGAGGACAGGAAACACUGGGACACCUGUCCUGUUGGGAAGCUCCCAUUAAUCAAAGAAGAGAAGCCUUGGCUCUGAUAGCACUGAAACGUGAAAUAUGCUGAAACCCACAUUUGUGUGUCAGUCUGCCUAUUUGAGAUCAUCUGAUGUGUGAAAUACUCAUGAAUUCACAUUCCUGAGUUUUUCUUACCUGUUCAUGUGUCCGUGUGGACGGUUUCAGAGCAGCGUGUCGCUGUUUGCACCAGAGGCCACAGUUUGAGUGGAGCUGAUCGUGUUCACACUGUCUCUGAUAUCACUUUACAGCUGGUUCACGUGACUUUUGUUACGUUCACGUGACUUUUGUUACAUUUCAUUUCAGCUCAGACGAUACACACAUUUAAAUCUCUAUUAA